rnacentral:tRNA from 1 species
GUGGCUCAGUGGUAGAGUGCUUGCCUUGCAUGCAUGAAGCCCUGGGUUCGAUUCCUGAGC